rnacentral:rRNA from 1 species
AUGGCAGCGGCUGCAGGAGGAGACGAGGUGAAGCUGCUAGGCGUGUGGGACAGCCCGUUCGUGAACAGGGUGCAGAUCGUGCUCAACCUCAAGGGGAUCAGCUACCAGUACGUCGAGGAAGACCUCCACAACAAGGGCGAGCUCCUCCUCGCCUCCAACCCCGUGCACAAGAAGGUGCCCGUCCUCAUCCACAACGGCAAGCCCAUCCCGGAGUCGCAGGUCAUCGUGCAGUACAUCGACGAGGUCUGGAGAGGCGCCGGCCCGAGCGUCCUCCCCGCCGGCCCGCACGAGCGCGCCACCGCCCGGUUCUGGGCCGCCUACGUCGACGACAAGGUUGGGUCGCCGUGGUUCACCAUCCUGUUCGCCCGCAAGACCGAGGAGAAGAUCGAGGCGGCUGUACGGGCCAUCUCGGCGAUGGAGACGCUGGAAGGCGCGUUCGGGGAAUGCUCCGGUGGGAAGCCGUUCUUCGGCGGCGACGGCAUCGGGUUCGUCGACGUUGUGCUCGGCAGCUACCUGGGCUGGUUCGUGGUGAUCGAGAAGAUGAUCGGGAUCAAGCUCCUGGACGCGGCGAGGACGCCGGCCCUGGCCGCGUGGGCUCAGCGGUUCAGGAUGGCGGAUGCGGUGAAGGGUGUCUUGCCUGAAGAUGUCGACAAGGUGCUCGAGUUUUUGCAGACGUUCCUUGAUUAG